GUUAGAACAGCCAAGGCAUGCAUUUCUCUUUAAGCAAAAGCUCUCAUAUGUUGCUGUUCAUCCUGUCAGUAGACUUUGUUCAAGGUAGUAAUGAAAUAUGGGAGGAACACGAUGCAGGCUUAAGCUCCAAGCACAGCCCGCAUGCACGUGCCAGGCUCGUCCUCUGAGAGUCAACAGCUCCUUUUCAAAUAAGUCAUCAUUCUGCUGCCCUAGGAGCUGCCUCCAUCUUGCAGCAUGCUCUUCUGAUCCAGAAGAGGGGGUUCCCCUCUUACACCUGCGGCUACCAGAAAGAACCAUAAAGAACCAAGCUGAGGACAGCGGAUAUUUUGCUUUGCUGCAGUGGGAUCCUGCACAGUCUCCAAACUAGAUGAAUGCGGAGAUACUAGCUUAGAACUCAUCCUUUCUCUAUUGUCAUCAGCAGCUAGCAAGCUCUAGCAAUGUGGACAUGCUGCCCAUCUAUUCUGGUGCUGUGCAGAAGACAGUCUCCAGAAGGGACCCUUCAGGAUACUUGAUGUUGUAGUGAGAUGCUGG
ensembl:lncRNA